UCCUCUUAGUUUGCUUGCCUCAUUCCCAAAAAUAUUUUGAGGAAUUAUAUUGUUAAUUUCUCUCUCAUUUGAGUGCUUCCAAAUAAAUUCCCUCAAACUCCACCUCAAAAUAUUGCACUCAAAUAAAUUAGGAAAUCUCCUUUGUGAAUUCUCUCCGAAUUCAAAUUCUUCGCAAAACCUAGUUAUCCAAAUCAAAUAUACAAAUUAGACUUCUUUCUUUUUGUCAUCGGGCCGAAACUCUGUUCUGUUUUCCUUUUGGCCCAAUCCUUUUUCUUUCUAUUUUCCUCCUUCCUCUUGGGCUGCCGGCCCAGCUAAGCCGAGCCGGCCCAAAUCAGCCCACACCCCAGCCGAGCCGCCUCCUCCUCCCGUGCGCGUGUUGCGCACGGCGCACGCCGCCGCCAACUCGUUUCCGUCGCCGCUAAGAAAACAGAGCCGGCCGCCGUUGCCCUUCCCUGCACGCCACUGCUGUCGUCGUGUCCCUCUUGCCCUCCUCCUCCAAACUGACGUCAGCCGCUGAGCCGAACCGACAUGCUCAGCCAAUCACGAGCGGAAGCCGGCGCCGUGUCCCUCUUCCUCACGCGCGCCGCCGCCGGCGCCGUUUUCUUCUCCCCUAAGCAGCCGUCGCCGUGCCUUCCUCGUCCUCCUCCGGACCGACCUCCGCCGCCUAUAAAUAGCCGGCCAUCCCUCUUCUUUUCCCCACAAACCGAGCUCUCUUCUCUCUCUCCAUCCAUGGCCGAUCGUCGACGCCGUCGGUCGAUCUCCCCAUCCGUAGCUCCACCUCCCCUGUCCUCGCGCCACCGGCUUCGCCUCCAUCCGGCGAGUCCGUUUUUCCCCUUUCCCCUCUUCCUCCACCUCUAAGUCAAGCCACCACCGCCAUCAUCCAUGCCGGCUCGAGGUGAACCCUUGCCGCCGCCGUUCCGGCUAUAUAUCUCUCCCUCUCGGCCAGCCACCUACCUCCCCGGGUGCGCGUCGCUCGGGAACACGCGUGGCCACCGCCGUCAAGGCCGUUCAUCCACCGGAGCAUCGGCGCCCCUCCUCUCCCUUCUCUCUGUUUGCUCGGCUGGAAGAGAAAAAGAAGCAGAAGAAGGAAGGAAGGAGGAAGAAGAAAGAGAAAAGAAGAAGAAAAGACAAAUAACUGACAGAUUUGGGUCAAGAGGAGGACCCCUGUGAUUAUUAUUAUGAUGACUCUGAUAACUUAGAAAAUCCCUAGAGGUUAUACCUUCCUAGUCAGAAUGUACUAGAACUUCCGCUGUGUAAUAUUAGUACCUAUGUUUAAUUAGGUGAGUACCUACCCUUGUAAAACCCCUAGUAUUGUAAACUUUAACGUAUGCAAUGAAGAACCAGUUGUAUUACAUGUAUCAAUAUUUACUGAUCCAGGGAUUGAUACAUUAAUUUCAGUCGGAUCCAAGUUAUUAGUUUUGGGCUCCGACAGGACUGGUAUCAGAGCAUAUGUUUUGACUAUAGGACAAACCCUAAGGAUUAUUAACCAAUUUAAGUUUGAGUUUA